GGGCAUGUAGCUCAGUCGGUUAGAGCAGGCGUCUUAUAAGCGCCAGGUCGAUGGUUCGAGUCCAUCCAUGCCCACCA
rnacentral:tRNA from 1 species